rnacentral:rRNA from 1 species
UACGUAGGGUGCGAGCGUUGUCCGGAAUUAUUGGGCGUAAAGGGCUCGUAGGCGGUCUGUCGCGUCGGCUGUGAAAUCCCGAGGCUCAACCUCGGGUCUGCAGUCGAUACGGGCAAACUAGAGUAUUGCAGGGGAGACUGGAAUUCCUGGUGUAGCGGUGAAAUGCGCAGAUAUCAGGAGGAACACCGGUGGCGAAGGCGGGUCUCUGGGCAAUAACUGACGCUGAGGAGCGAAAGCGUGGGGAGCGAACAGG